UGCCAGCCGCCGCGGUAAUACGGAGGGUGCGAGCGUUAAUCGGAAUUACUGGGCGUAAAGCGCGCGUAGGCGGCUUGGUAAGUCGGUUGUGAAAGCCCUGGGCUUAACCUGGGAAUUGCGACCGAAACUGCCAGGCUAGAGUAUGGUAGAGGAUAGUGGAAUUCCUGGUGUAGCGGUGAAAUGCGUAGAUAUCAGGAGGAACAUCAGUGGCGAAGGCGGCUAUCUGGACCAAUACUGACGCUGAGGUGCGAAAGCGUGGGGAGCAAACAGGAUUAGAUA
rnacentral:rRNA from 1 species